rnacentral:rRNA from 1 species
GACGAACGCUGGCGGCGUGCCUAAUACAUGCAAGUAGAACGCUGAAGGAGGAGCUUGCUUCUCUGGAUGAGUUGCGAACGGGUGAGUAACGCGUAGGUAACCUGCCUGGUAGCGGGGGAUAACUAUUGGAAACGAUAGCUAAUACCGCAUAAUAGUAGAUGUUGCAUGACAUUUACUUAAAAGGUGCAAUUGCAUCACUACCAGAUGGACCUGCGUUGUAUUAGCUAGUUGGUGGGGUAACGGCUCACCAAGGCGACGAUACAUAGCCGACCUGAGAGGGGGAUCGGCCACACUGGGACUGAGACACGGCCCAGACUCCUACGGGAGGCAGCAGUAGGGAAUCUUCGGCAAUGGACGAAAGUCUGACCGAGCAACGCCGCGUGAGGGAAGAAGGUUUUCGGAUCGUAAAGCUCGGUUGUAAGAGAAGAACGAGUGUGAGAGUGGAAAGUUCACACUGUGACGGUAUCUUACCAGAAAGGGACGGCUAACUACGUG